rnacentral:rRNA from 6 species
CUGUAAGCCUGCGAAGGUGGCCUGUGAGGGUUGCUGGAGGUAUCAGAAGUGCGAAUGCUGACAUAAGUAACGAUAAAGCGGGUGAAAAGCCCGCUCGCCGGAAGACCAAGGGUUCCUGUCCAACGUUAAUCGGGGCAGGGUGAGUCGACCCCUAAGGCGAGGCCGAAAGGCGUAGUCGAUGGGAAACGGGUUAAUAUUCCCGUACUUGGUGUUACUGCGAAGGGGGGACGGAGAAGGCUAUGUUGGCCGGGCGACGGUUGUCCCGGUUUAAGCGUGUAGGUGUGUGUUCCAGGUAAAUCCGGUUCACUUUAACACUGAGGCGUGAUGACGAGGCACUACGGUGCUGAAGCAACAAAUGCCCUGCUUCCAGGAAAAGCCUCUAAGCAUCAGGUAACAUCAAAUCGUACCCCAAACCGACACAGGUGGUCAGGUAGAGAAUACCAAGGCGCUUGAGAGAACUCGGGUGAAGGAACUAGGCAAAAUGGUGCCGUAACUUCGGGAGAAGGCACGCUGACACGUAGGUGAAGUGAUUUACUCAUGGAGCUGAAGUCAGUCGAAGAUACCAGCUGGCUGCAACUGUUUAUUAAAAACACAGCACUGUGCAAACACGAAAGUGGACGUAUACGGUGUGACGCCUGCCCGGUGCCGGAAGGUUAAUUGAUGGGGUCAGCGCAAGCGAAGCUCCUGAUCGAAGCCCCGGUAAACGGCGGCCGUAACUAUAACGGUCCUAAGGUAGCGAAAUUCCUUGUCGGGUAAGUUCCGACCUGCACGAAUGGCGUAAUGAUGGCCAGGCUGUCUCCACCCGAGACUCAGUGAAAUUGAACUCGCUGUGAAGAUGCAGUGUACCCGCGGCAAGACGGAAAGACCCCGUGAACCUUUACUAUAGCUUGACACUGAACAUUGAGCCUUGAUGUGUAGGAUAGGUGGGAGGCUUUGAAGUGUGGACGCCAGUCUGCAUGGAGCCGGCCUUGAAAUACCACCCUUUAAUGUUUGAUGUUCUAACGUGGACCCGUGAUCCGGGUUGCGGACAGUGUCUGGUGGGUAGUUUGACUGGGGCGGUCUCCUCCUAAAGAGUAACGGAGGAGCACGAAGGUUGGCUAAUCCUGGUCGGACAUCAGGAGGUUAGUGCAAUGGCAUAAGCCAGCUUGACUGCGAGCGUGACGGCGCGAGCAGGUGCGAAAGCAGGUCAUAGUGAUCCGGUGGUUCUGAAUGGAAGGGCCAUCGCUCAACGGAUAAAAGGUACUCCGGGGAUAACAGGCUGAUACCGCCCAAGAGUUCAUAUCGACGGCGGUGUUUGGCACCUCGAUGUCGGCUCAUCACAUCCUGGGGCUGAAGUAGGUCCCAAGGGUAUGGCUGUUCGCCAUUUAAAGUGGUACGCGAGCUGGGUUUAGAACGUCGUGAGACAGUUCGGUCCCUAUCUGCCGUGGGCGCUGGAGAACUGAGGGGGGCUGCUCCUAGUACGAGAGGACCGGAGUGGACGCAUCACUGGUGUUCGGGUUGUCAUGCCAAUGGCACUGCCCGGUAGCUAAAUGCGGAAGAGAUAAGUGCUGAAAGCAUCUAAGCACGAAACUUGCCCCGAGAUGAGUUCUCCCUGAGACUUAGAGUCUCCUGAAGGAACGUUGAAGACGACGACGUUGAUAGGCCGGGUGUGUAAGCGCAGCGAUGCGUUGAGCUAACCGGUACUAAUGAACCGUGAGGCUUAACCUUACA